rnacentral:rRNA from 1 species
GACAGAGGUGCCGAGCGUUAGGCGGAAUCACUGGGCUUAAAGCGUGUGUAGGCGGAUUUGUAAGUACCUUGUGAAAUCCCACGGCUCAACCGUGGAACUGCUUGGUAUACUGCUUAUCUUGGGCCACUUAGGGGUUACCGGAACAAACGGUGGAGCGGUGAAAUGCGUAGAUAUCGUGUGGAACGCCAAUGGUGAAAACAGGUAACUGGGAGUGUGCCGACGCUGAGACACGAAAGCCAGGGGAGCGAACGGG